CCCCCCGCGUUACCCGCCCGCGGCCACACCUGAGCCGCCCGCGUUACCCGCCCGCGGCCACACCUGCGCCGGCCACACCCGCGCCGACCCCUCCCCCGCGGUUCAACCCAAGGCCCGGCCGCCCCGCCCGCGUUACCGCCCACACCCGCGGCCACACCUGAGCCGCCCCGCGUUACCCGCCCGCGGCCACACCCGCGCCGCCCCCUCCCCCAGCCACGCCGCCCACACCCGGGCCGUCCACACCCGCGCCCCCCGCCGGGCCCCCCCGCCCCCCGCCCCGGUCUCGGGCAGCCCGGGUUCCCAGGCGCGGGGCUUGGGGGCGUCGGUUUCGCGGCUCCUAACGGCCGCCGGCGCGUGCCCCAGGCCAUUGCCCAGGCGGCGAGGGCGUGGGGGGGCAUCUGGCCGGCGAGCGCAGAGGUGGGGGGGCUCCCCGGGGGGCUCCCCGCCCCCAGCGACGAGCAGAGCGCGGCCCGGCCUUGCCCCGCGUCCAGGGGCGGCACCUCGCCUCCUAACCUGCCGCCUCCCGGAGCCUCAGAACGACCCGCGGGGCCCGGAGGGGCCUCGGCGCUCGUGUGAAAAUCAUCCUUGGCUCUAUCCACUUCCACCCUUCCCACAUUUGGACAAUCGCCAAAUCUUGACCUCUUCAAGCUGUCAGUUGCAUCUGCUCCUUCCAGUGGCCAGUACCCUUGUUUACCCUUUGUUGUCUUGUUUUCAUGCCUAAUCUUACCUUCCUACACUAGAUUGUUAAGUCCCACUGAGACCAUGCUCUACACCUUCGGAAUGAGUUUAAAUUGAAUAGGCCAAAUAAACCUGUCCCCACCCACCAUACUUUCUUUUCUCUUUACCCUGUAUUAUUUUUCUUAAAGAUUUUAUUUAUUAGAAGAGAGAGUGAGCAGGGGGUGUGGUGGUUGGGACAGAGGGAGAGGGAGAGGACGACUCCCUGCUGAUCAGGGAGCCCAACAUGGGCCUCCAUCCCAGGACUCCGAGAUCAUGACCUGAACCAAGGGCAGACCCUGAGCCACUCAGGCGCCCCUCCCCGGUGUUAUUUUUUGCCGUAGCACCUACUGCCAUCUGAUAACCUAUAUAUUUGUUCAUUUGCUUAUUGCCUGUUUCCUCCUCUUAGAAUAUUAGCUACAAGGAACUCAAAUUUGUUAGCUCCAGUGUCCAGAGCACUACCCGCCUGGUACAUCGCAGGCCCUCAGUAAACUUUUCUUAGAUAAAGAAUUAUCAUAUUUGGUGCCUUUUGUUGUAAAAUUCUUUUUAUGGUAAAAUAAAAUAUUGGACUUUGGCCAACUGAGAGGAGGUCUCUGGAUGGAUCCGUGCACAUCUGUAACAAUGAUUUCCAUAAUUCUAAACAAGUUUGUGUGUGUGCUUUUAUGUAUGUGACAGAGAAAAAGAGAGAGACACACAUAGAUUAUGUUCUCAUAAUUUUCUACACAAUUAUACUGAUUUUAUUUAUAGUUAAAAAAUGUUAAUAUUGAUUUGGCUAUUACUCUCUAACCUUUCAAAAUUUACUUACUCCUCUGAGUGUCAACUUUUCAGCUGAAAAGUGAGAAAUAAGAUUACCCAUUCAAGGGGUGCCUGGGUGGCUUAGUCGGUUAAGUAUCUGUCUUUGGCUCAGGUCAUGAUCCCUGGGUCCUAGGAUGGAGUCCCACAUCAGCUCCCUUGCAGCAGGGAGCCUGAUUUUCCCUCUCCCUCUGCCCCUACCCCCUGCUUGUGCUCUCUCAAAAUCUUAAAAAAAAAAAAAAAAAUUUACCCGUUGAAUAAAUGUACAGUAUACCUAUUAUAGACCAAGUACUGGUUUGAGUGAAAAAGAUAGAGGUACUUAUGACUUCCAGUCCAGCAGUUGUGGGUGUGUAACAGGAGCACGGGGGUGCAAGGGCAGCUGGCUCCAAGGGUCUCAAACAGAUCAGGUUCAGCCACUGGCUGCUGAUAAAAUCCAGAGGCAGAGAGAGUGGUGGUAAAAGAAGGAAAGAAUUUAUUUUAGUGAGGCCAACACUAAGAAGACAGUGGACUAACUUCUCAAAGACUGUCUCCAAAGUGCUGAAACUACUUCCGGGUUUAUAUAAGGAAAAUGAAGGACAAAGGUUGGGGGUACAUGUAGGUAGGCUAAAAAGGUCAGGCCAAUUACUGACCUGGGGUCAAUCACUCGGGACCUUAGGGACCCGGGGCAGUCUUUAUUCUUGAGGAGUAGUUUCAGUUCCCACCAAGGAUGCUUUGCACACAGGGUCUUUUGCAUGAGUUAACAGGUAAGCUGGAAACAAAGAACUUAAUCAGAAAGUAUAGACAGGUCAAAAUGGAGGCAGCAGAGGUCCUCUUUCACGUGUCUGCCGUGCAAUAAGUGACCAACAGUUAUCCUGGAUGCCAGAUUGAGCCUGAUGCUCAAAAUAGGAUGAAAUAUUUAGAGGCCUUGAGAGAGAUGUGAGGCAGAAACACUUUGCCAACAACUAUAUCAUCGUGUCCAACCAGAUGAACACGGCCGAGGUUGACACAGUGACAGGCAGGUCAACAGGCAGUUCAAAAUCUAUCGUAUCUACAGAGCGUUCUCAGGAGAGGCGAGUCAGAUGACUCCACCCUAUCUGGCCAAGGUUGACAGCAUUAUCUCAAAGAACUUCUGAAUGGGGAAGGUCAAGAUGUGGAAUAUUUGUCAUAAAACAAUUGUGGCACACACACACAUAUCCCCGCCAAAAUAUUUACUGGGUUUCUGCUGCGAUCAAUUGUGAGGAUGGAAUUACUAGGUGGAAAAGACUAUGGAGAAAGAAGAUUGGAAAGGAUUAAAAAUCAAGCAUUCAUUCUAAGAUAUACCAACGUUGAGAUGCAUAAAGGACAUCAAGUAGAGAUUAUUAGAAAGAUAAACUAAUGUGCAGCUUACCUCUCAAUCACUUUUCAACCAGCUGAAAAUAACUUUAAAAGAUUUUUAAGUAAUCUCUACACCCAACAUGGGACUCAAAUUUACAACCCUGAGACCCAGAGCCGCAGGCUGCACGGACUGAGCCCGCCAGGCACCCCUUAAAUUAAAACUUAAUAAAACAUAUCCUAGGAAACUAAAACGUGAGCCAUCAGCUUUUCUAGCAAACCAUUAAUCUCCAGGACAUUUCUGAGAAUCUGUGCAGUGCCCUCAGCCCUAUGUGCCCUGCAGCUACAGGACUUUGUGAUGAACUCAUUCAAAGCU
rnacentral:lncRNA from 1 species